rnacentral:rRNA from 1 species
AGAGUUUGAUCCUGGCUCAGAACGAACGCUGGCGGCAGGCCUAACACAUGCAAGUCGAACGAUGCCUUCGGGCAUAGUGGCGCACGGGUGAGUAACACGUGGGAACAUACCUUUUGGUGGGGGAUAACUUCGGGAAACUGAAGCUAAUACCGCAUACGCCCCUUGGGGGAAAGAUUUAUCGCCGAAAGAUUGGCCCGCGUCCGAUUAGCUAGUUGGUGAGGUAAUGGCUCACCAAAGCUCCGAUCGGUAGCUGGUCUGAGAGGAUGACCAGCCACACUGGGACUGAGACACGGCCCAGACUCCUACGGGAGGCAGCAGUGGGGAAUAUUGGACAAUGGGCGCAAGCCUGAUCCAGCCAUGCCGCGUGAGUGAUGAAGGCCUUAGGGUUGUAAAGCUCUUCACCCACGACGAUGAUGACGGUAG